GGCUCUCUUGCUCUUGAUGAUUGGAUCAGUGGUUUCAGGCUUCGGGGGGUUCGAUCAGAUGUUGUAUGAAUAAUAGCAGGAUUGCUUGAGAGACUAUAGUUUGGGUACUGUUUGCUUCUCUAUUUAUUGGUACAGUUUCCUACUGAUCUGCGGCUGCGCAGGAAGGCAUUCUCUUUUUUGCCGUACCAUGGAUGCACCGGAUGUUCAACAGAGCAUGGGAUAUAAGGAGUCCAGGGGUGGUAUG